rnacentral:lncRNA from 1 species
UUUUUUUUUUUUUUUUUUUUUUUUGGUUUUUCGAGACAAGGUUUCUCUGUAUAGCUCUGGCUGUCCUGGAACUUACUUUGUAGACCAGGCUAGCCUCGAACUCAGAAAUCCACCUGCCUCUGCCUCCUGAGUGCUAGGAUUAAAGGCGUUCGCCACCACGCCCGGCUUGACCUUUUUAAAUAAUUCCAAAUAAUCUUCUGUCCUGUGAUCUUUUUGUGAUAUUUUUGUACUACUGAUAAUUAGCAAUCAGUUAAGAGACUGAUUAGGCUCAUAAGCUUUCUUUCUGAAAAUGUAGAUUGAGGGGCAGUUAGCCAUUUGAAAGGUAGACUUGAAUUCUUUUUUUCUUAAAUCCUUCAUGGUUGUAAUUGUGGAAAAUAGCUGUAUGGAUCUUUCAAUUUCAGUUUGUAGGAGAUGAUAAUUUAGGGUCUACAGGUUAAUUCUAUGUGGGAAGCCGUGCACAAUCACCAUUACAAGAUGGGGCUGGCUUCCUCAGUGCCUAACUAGUAAAUAAGCAAUGUGCGCAGGUGCUGGAGUAAAUUCAUGCCAAGUCACUGCCCAUCCCGGGGUGUAGGAGUGGGGUGAUGAGCGAGCAACUAAUCAGGAGCUGACACGUCACACAGAGGGGUAUUUAAGCAGCUCCAUUUUCCGGGUUCGGGGUCUUCCUGAGAAGCAAUAAAGCUUUGCCGUAGAAGGAUCUGGAGUGUUUUUUGCUGGUGAAACGUUACAAGGACAGUUCUAUAUUAGCAGGCCUUUGAAUUUACAACUCCAUUCCUAUUCCUAUGGUUAGAAACCUAUGGAGAGUCUUCCAAGGGAAAAGAAAUCAGGAAUGUAGGAAAUGUCACACAGAUCAUAUAUUUUUCUUCUGGAUUUCAUUUUUUAAGACUGUGCUGCCCUGCUUGGCCUUGAACUCACAGGCCAGAUCCACCUGCCUCUGUCUCGCAAAUGGCGGGAUUAAAGGCCUUCAGCACCAAAGUCCAGCAGUGAAUACUUUGAUAGAGUAGAAUUUAGAUAUGAAGGACCUGGGUUUGGUGCUACAUAGUUAGUGAGUGGUAUAGCAGGUUUAAGAGGUCGGCUUGGGCUGAAUGUUGGCGUUUGUGUGAGCAAAAACAGUAACACACUCUAAGCGCUAAAUUUGAAUUAUCAAUAGCCGUGUUACUAGAGCAUUCUCUUUCAUAGAAAACUUUCAGAAAGCCAAAAUCAUAUCAUUGUGGAUUUUAGUGACAGGUGUAUAAAUUUAAGGACCUUAAUUACCAAUUUAAAAUACAGUCACGCCAAUUAUAGUUUAUUAAUACUGUUUAAUAAAUAAUUUUAAUAGUUUAAUUACAGUCCUGUGUAAAAGCAUCUUGUCCUUAUCUAAGAUGCCAAGUAGAAAAUUGGCAGCCAGAAGAUUGGAUGAAGAGGCAGGUUUGAGAAAGUAAGAAACUGGGUGUUUAUCUUUGAUAUACUUCUAUUUCUUACUAUAUGUUAAUAAACAUUUAUGGUCCAAAAAAGUUUUAAAAAUUUGUGCUUUUGGGGACCCCAUCGGAGGAGUUAGGGUAAGGACUGAAGGACCUGAAGGGGUUUGCAACCCCAUAGGAAGAACAACAAUAUUAACCAACCAGACCCCUCAGAGCUCCCAGGGACUAAACCACCAUCCAGAAUACACAUGGAGGGACCCAUGGUUCCAGCCGAAUGAUGGAUGGCCUUAUCUAGCAUCAAUGGGAGGGGAGCCCUUGGUCUUGUGAAGGUUCAUUGCUCCAGCAUAGGGGAAUGCUAGGGUUGUGAGGCGGAAUUGGUGGGUGGGGGAGCAGGAGGUAGGAGGAUGGGAUAGGGAGUUUUCAGAGGGGAAACCGGAAAGGGGGAUAACAUUUGAAAUGUAAAUAAAUAAAAUAAGCAAUC